GUAUGCCACUUAGUCCAAUGGAUCUGUUGCAUGGCACUAAAAUCCAAUGGAGUUUGGUGCAGUCACACAUCCCAUGCCAUUGGCGCAGUAUGAAAGCAGUUGAUGAAGGUUGGAGGAUACCACACUUCAUUCAGUAGCUGAUGGCUUUGUGCCAGUCUCUCUCUCUCUCUCUCUCUCUCUCUCUCUCUGUCUCUCUCUAUCCAUGUAGACAAGCCAAAGACGGGAAUCCAUGUUUCACAUGGGCACACAAAGCUGUGUGCUCGAGAGAAGCUUGAAGAAGGAAGAGACAUGAAUGAAUACACUUGUGUUCUUCCUUUUCCUGAUGUUCUGAGACUGAGAGAAACAUAGCGCUUCAUGUGGAAAUGUUGGCAUUCUGUACCACCAUCUGAAAAGAAGAAGUUGAGGAGUUUGUCUGAACUUAAAAUAGCUUUCGAUCAGAUUAGAUUCCAAUAGCUUACCAAAACUCUAUCUCCCUCUCUGUCCCAUACUUGUCCAUCAUGGAUUCGAGACCAAUUAUUUUAGCAGAGUAUUCGAACAGGUCAGAGGGAGAUGUCCGAGCGCGGAGACGCCACAAUCAAGCUCUUCGGCAAGAGCAUCACUCUGCAGUUCGGCGGAGACGAGGAGAAUGCACUGCGAUCGGAGGUCUUCUCGUUGAAUCAGCUACAUACAUAUGAUGAUCUUUGCACCUCUUUCUAAUCUCAGGAUUUUCGAGAGGAAGAGACUGCUCCUGAAUCACCCGACUCACAGGAAACUAACGAGCAUGAAUCGACGAGGAACUCGAUGCCCGAUGAACGACGAAGUGAAGCAGGGAGUUGGAAGGAGAAGGCGGCGAAGAAGCCCAAAUUCUGCUAUUACAACAACUACAACGUCGACCAGCCGCGGCACUCCUGCAGGAACUGCCAAAGGUACUGGACCGCCCGACAAUGCCAUGCGGAAUGUUGACGUCGGAGCCGGUUGACGCAAGAACAGGAGUAGCUCUCACGAACGGCACGUCGCGCUUCGCUUUGGCCCUGACGCCGCUGGAAACAACGGUGAUGAGGAAUCCGGAUAGUGGUGGGAGGGGACGUCGAGCUUUCCAGUUGCAUUCCGUAAGGAAUUAAACGAAGAAUAUAGAAGAUAGAAAUCGUAAAAGAAGCCAUGUUCCUUGUUGAAAUAUUCUCCCUAUUUAUAGAAGUUAGGAGGGAGAAUUUUCUUCAACAAAGCAAUAAGAUUUCUUUAUAUAGUUAGAAAAAUCUUAUCUACUAUCAUGACCCCACAAAAUGGUGCUCUUAUCAAGGAUACUAAUCUUGGAUUGAUGUAAUGCAAAGAGUUUACGAGCGAGAGGCUUUGUCAG